GAUUAACGCUGGCGGCGUGCUUAACACAUGCAAGUCGAACGAAGUGGCGAACGGGUGAGUAAUACGUGGGUAACCUGCCCUCCUUCUUGGGUUAAGCCUUGGAAACGCGGUCUAAUACCGAAUAAAGGUGGACGGUCUCGCGGACUAUCAGCUUGUUGGUGGGGUGUUGGCCUAGCAGGGCGGUGACGGGUAGCCGUCCUGAGAGGGUGUACGGCCACGUGGGGACGGAGAUACGGCCCAGACUGCUAAGGGAGGCAGCAGUGGGGGAGGUGGCACAAGGGGGGAAGGGCGGAUGCAGCGACGCCGCGUGGGGGAUGAAGGCUUUGGGGUUGUAAACCUCUUUCGCUAGCGAACGGGUAGGUGGAGAAGAAGCGCCGGCUAACUACGUGCCAGCCGCCGCGGUAAUUC
rnacentral:rRNA from 1 species